GUGCUUGCUUCAGCAGCACAUACACUAAAAUUGGAACAACACAGAGAAGAUUAGCACAGCCCCUGGGCAAGGAUGACAUUCAAAUUCAUGAAGCAUUCCAUAUUUUU
ensembl:snRNA U6 U6 spliceosomal RNA